rnacentral:misc_RNA from 1 species
UUUCCGUAGGUGAACCUGCGGAAGGAUCAUUCAUAAUAAAGUGUUUUAUGGCACUUUUUAAAAAUCUAUAUCCACCUUGUGUGCAAUGUUAGAUCUCGUCAAUCUUGGCGAGAUUUUUAUACAUCAACUCAUUCUUUAACUAAUUUGUCUGUAAAAUAUUAUGAAUACUUAAUUCAAAAUACAACUUUCAACAACGGAUCUCUUGGCUCUC